AAAAGAGAAAGAGCUGAGAAAGAAGUGGAGACACUGAAGAGGAAACUGUAGACUGAGAACAGCAGCAGCUCAGACAGUCAGGAGACGUUAAGAGACAUCACUGUGGUGGUUAAUGAAAACUACAAGUUUAUCUGUCUGGAAAACAAGUCUAAUCAGGACAAACCACUGGGAGGACGUCAGUUAAAAGUCCAGAUCAACAAUAGUGAACCCAUCACAUACACAUUUGAUCCAUCAGUGAAACUCAAGGCUGGAAAGUCUGUUACUGUGAGUGUUUGUAGAUGUUUCAUUGAUGUUGUUAUAUUUUCCAUUUUCUUACUUUUCCUUCAGUUUUUCUAAUUAUUAUUUUCUGACUGUGACUCUGUGACCUUUGGAUUUACUACAUUUACAGUUCUGCCAUCCAGACUGUAGGUUGUGUCAUGUUGCACUUGCUUACCUGAUGUGGGAGGACCUGAAGUCCUGGGAGUCUGGAGACAUAGUCCAGGCCUCUCUGCAGUGAAAUAGUUCCCAGUUGAACUCCUUCAAUAAAGUUCAGUAAUCCAGCAAACAGCAACAUUAUAGAUGAGAAACAGCACGACUCAGAUCUUCCUGCAGAAACCACACACUGCAGAGAAAGUCUCU